rnacentral:rRNA from 1 species
GACAGAGGAUGCAAACGUUGCUCGGAAUUACUGGGCGUAAAGCGCGCGCAGGCGGUCCUGUAAGUCGGGUGUGAAAUCCCGGGGCUCAACCCUGGAAGUGCACUCGAUACUGCGGGACUUGAGUACUGGAGAGGAGAGCGGAAUUCCCGGUGUAGAGGUGAAAUUCGUAGAUAUCGGGAGGAACACCAGUGGCGAAGGCGGCUCUCUGGACAGAUACUGACGCUGAGGCGCGAAAGCGUGGGAAGCAAACAGG